UCAGACCUACCUUGACUGACUGGAGAGGCACAGAACCAACUAUCACCUUUGAAAAUAUUUUCCAGGAAAUGGUAUAAAGAACACUGCAAAGAAGGCAUAAGAGAUUCUUACUGAGACCCUCAAAUUGGGAAUUCUGACUUUCUGGUAAGUUUUUCUGCCCUUCUUGGGACCCCUAAAAACAUCAGUCUGUCUGAGAAAGCAGUGGGUAGUACCCUCCAGUUUUUUUUAGACAGUUUCGCUCUUGUUGCCCAGGCUGGCGUGCAAUGGCACAAUAUUGGCUCACUGCGACCUGUGCCUCCCGGGUUCAAGCAAUUCUGUCUCAGCCUCCCAAGUAGCUGGGAUUACAGGCACCCGCCUGGCUCAUUUUUGGAUUUUCUUUUAGUAGAGACAGGGUUUCACCAUGUUGGCCAGGCUGAUCCUGAACUCCUGACCUCAGUUAAUCCACUCACCUUGGCCUCCCAAAGUGCUGGGAUUAUAGGCGUGAGCCACUGUGCCCGGCCUAGUACCCUCCAGUUUUUUUUGUUUUGUUUGAGAUGGAGUUUCGCUCUUGUUGCCCAGGCAGAGUGCAAUGGCACAAAUCUUGGCUUACCGCAACCUCUGCCUCCCAGCUUCAAUUGAUUCUCCUGCCUCAUCCUCCUCAGUAGCUGGGAUUAUAGGCAUGCACCACCAUGCCCGGCUAAUUUUUGUAUUUUUAGUAAAGACGGGGUCUCUCCAUGUUGGUCAGGCUGGUCUCGAACUCCUGACCUCAGGUCUUGGCCUCCCAAAGUGCUGGGAUUACAGGCAUGAGACACCGUGCCCAGCCAAGUACCCUCCAGUUUUAAACCACAUGGCUACUAAACUUCAGUUACCUAAAGCCAUGAAAACUAAUUAAACUCUCUCCUGACACUGCUUCAACAGCCCCUGACUACCUUUUAGUCUGCUUUUCCAAUAACUCCUUAAUCAUUAACUUUCAGAUCCAACCACAGGCCAGUAAAAUUCCUGCAAGGACAAUAAAAUCAGAACAAUCCUCAUGCCCCUGAGGAAUUUUCAUUCUACUUGGCCAAGGCCAGCUUUGUAACUGCUGAAGGCCACUAUGAGCCCCAACUGCAAAUAUGCCACUUAAAAGGCAGGGAACACUUUAUUCCUGGAAAAAUAUCAACAGACAAACCCCAUGGGGUUCAAGCAGGGAUGCCUUGUCCUUAAAUCAUAUAUUCCAAAGUGAGGAAUGCCUAUUACUCAAGAUGAGUUUGUGUUGGCAGAUGCCGAUUUCAUUAAAUAACCUUUCUUCAUUAUGUUCCACUUUGGUGAACUUCUCCCUUUGUCUCUAGGAGUUUGGGUCUCUUAUGGUUUAGACGUUUGACCCUCCCAAGCCUCAUGUUAAAAUCUGAUCCCCAGUGUUGGAAGUGGGGACCUAAUGGGAGGUGUUUGGGUCAUGGGGGUGGACCCCUCAUGAACAGAUUAAUGCCCUCCCUGGGGGAUGGAAGACCUAUUCUCGCAUUCAUUCCUGAAAGAGCUGAUGAGUGAUGUCUGCCACUGGAUCCAAGUGGGAAUGGCAGUACAUGUGUGUUUGACAGCCCUGGGCACUCCAACCUCUGCCCUUACCACAGAAGGGAUCUGAAGUAGCUGGUGUGUCCAGUUUCACAAAGGCUGCUUCAAUAGCUUGGCUGAAGGCUAUUUUGAAACUGGGCACAGGAACACAGUUGUUUAAGACAGCCUGGCACCUCCUCCCCUCCUUGCUUCCUCUCUUGCCAUGUGAUCUCUUCACAAGCAGGGACCCCUUCACUUCGUGUACCAUGAGUGGAAGCAGCCUGAGGCACUCACCAGAUGCCCAGUCCUCCAGCCAGCACAGUCAUGAGCCAAAUAAACUUUUUUUUUUUUUUUU